rnacentral:lncRNA from 1 species
UUUGACAAUUACAAUGCAAUGAUUCAUAAUUUAUUAGUGAAAUAACGACAGUGCUUUCAGAAAAUAAGUCUAAUGUCAAAGGCCAAUACGACCGAAAUUAAAUGUUUCAUUACAAAAAAUUAAAAUGAGUUCAAAUAUACAACAACCGCCUGCUCCUCGGGAACGCCAUCCACCACCCGAGCCGCGGCCGCGUCAUUCUCCUCCCCAACCACAGAAAGCAAACGCCCAACAACCUCCACAACCGAGACAGAGGCAACAUCCGCCGCAACCCAGGGAGCGCCAGCAACCCCCGAAACCGAGGGAAAGGCAAUCACCAUAAUAAACAAUUUUUUAUUAUUAUAAAUCUAAUUUAUAUAAUCUUUUUAUAUUUCAUAUAUUGUAAUCCUUAAAAUUAGACUAGAGUUUUGUUGUUUUUGUUUUAUUGAUAAAGGAUUUUCUUAUACAUUUAACAUUUUGAAACAAAUUGCUACUAAAAUGUAAUAAUUUUCAAUAAAAGUAGUUAAGAAUUUAUUAAAUUAAGCUUGAAUUAUAUAAGAACAGUUCCUGAGAUUCUUAUUCCAAUUAAACAAUUAAAAUGUUAAUUAGAUUAAAGUAGAAUGAGCAGAUAGAGGUUUUUUGAUUGUAUGAUUUCAUUAUCUGCAAUCUACAAAAUUGGUCCAAUUUGUUUUAGAUGAUAUAUACUUUGUAAAUCUAAUGAGUAUUUGGAUAGUGAUUUGAAUCUAAUAUUAUUUAGUAUAAGUUACAUAUAAAUAAUAGAUGCAACUCAAUUAUCACAAACAUAAUAUGUAAUCUCAGGUAAGCAAAAAAAUUUUUUGUAUUUGUUGCGUUAAAUAUUUAAAAUUCUCAAUAGGUAUGUGAUGUUAAUCUCAAAUUAAAGUUCUAUUAAUGUUGGGUAGUGUUAUUAAGAAAUGUAUAAAGUUAGGUAACUAUAAAUGUGUAGGGGAAACAUAAUUGUUCAUUAGUUUACUAGUAAACUUGGAUUUUGUUACCAUUUAUCAAAAUGAUGCAACUGCCAAAACUGUGAUAAAGAUAAUUUUUCUAAACCUGUUGCAUAUUUUAUAAAUAUUACAGAAUGUUGGAGUAAAUUAUUUUACGGGAAUUGUAACUGGCCAAAUUAUAUUUUGAAAAAAAAAAAAGUUUUUUGAGCAAUAUAGCACAUAUAAUUGGGAAGUGUAUGGCCUGCAAAAGCAAUAGUUUUAGAAAAAAGCAUUUAACUUUUGCAUACUUAGGCACUUUUAUUCCUACUCCAAUGUGCUCUAAUUAAAUUUAUUAUGUACUAAGUAGACAUUUUUAACGGUAUAAAAUUUGAUAUAAUCUUGUAUUUACUGUAAAAAGUUUCUGUUCAUCUUUUUUUAAAUGCUAGCAGUUCAUAGAUGAUACAUCGUCUUUAUUGACUUGAUAAUAAAGUAAACAUAAGUGAGUAUGGGCGUUUAUUUCAAAAACCAGGAAAAUAAUUCAAAACGCAUCGCAACGCAUCAUCAUUAGGUGAGAUAGAAAAAAUAUUAUCAGAUAGAAACGUACGUACGUACGUACUUAUGUUACUAUUUAGUUACUUCCAUUAAAAAGUCUUCAGUAUUAAAAAUAUGCAUUAACAUACAUUGUUCGAAUAAAGUGUAUCAAAUGUUACACUACAUUUGACAAUGAACAAUUGAAAUAAAGUACUGAUAUCUGGAAGUAAACGCGAAUAAACACAUAUGCGUGGGCUGAACGGAUGUGUAUGCUUAACCUCGAUAAUGAUGUGGCUGUCUGCUUCCAUACAUUAGAAGCAGUCACCGAGGACCUCUUAACCACUGCAUACUGUUAAAAUGUGCUCCAGAACAUUACUAGUUACAAUGUCAUAUAUCAUUUUAUGCAGUCCUGCACUAUCAAUCCAGGCGCUGAUUCGAGGAGAACUCUAUCAGUAUCCAGAAGUUGUACAGGAGUACGAUGUCAUUAUAAAGAAUAUUGAUUUUGAUGAGUCGCCGGUUUACACCAAUGAUUGUCCACCAGGAUCCCAAUUGGAUAUAUCUGGUAUGUGCCGCGAAGUUUGGUGAAGUGUGAUAAAAGUUCACUUAAAGUGUGCGAAGCAAUUGCUUACAUUAUAAACAAUUGUUUAUAAUUUUUUCUAUUAAAUCUGUGUUAUGAG